UAGCUAGUUGGUGAGGUAAAGGCUUACCAAGGCGACGAUCUGUAGCGGGUCUGAGAGGAUGAUCCGCCACACUGGAACUGAGACACGGUCCAGACUCCUACGGGAGGCAGCAGUGGGGAAUUUUGGACAAUGGGGGCAACCCUGAUCCAGCCAUGCCGCGUGAGUGAAGAAGGCCUUCGGGUUGUAAAGCUCUUUCGGCCGGGAAGAAAUCGCAUGGGCCAAUACCCUGUGUAGAUGACGGUACCGGAAUAAGAAGCACCGGCUAACUACGUGCCAGCAGCCGCGGUAAUACGUAGGGUGCGAGCGUUAAUCGGAAUUACUGGGCGUAAAGCGUGCGCAGGCGGUUUUGUAAGACAGGCGUGAAAUCCCCGGGCUUAACCUGGGAACUGCGUUUGUGACUGCAAGGCUAGAGUACGGCAGAGGGGGGUGGAAUUCCACGUGUAGCAGUGAAAUGCGUAGAGAUGUGGAGGAACACCAAUGGCGAAGGCAGCCCCCUGGGUCGAUACUGACGCUCAUGCACGAAAGCGUGGGUAGCAAACAGGAUUAGAUACCCUGGUAGUCCACGCCCUAAACUAUGUCAACUAGGUGUUGGGUGGGUAAAACCAUUUAGUACCGUAGCUAACGCGCGAAGUUGACCGCCUGGGGAGUACGGCCGCAAGGUUAAAACUCAAAGGAAUUGACGGGGACCCGCACAAGCGGUGGAUGAUGUGGAUUAAUUCGAUGCAACGCGAAAAACCUUACCUACCCUUGACAUGCCAGGAACUUGCCAGAGAUGGCUUGGUGCCCGAAAGGGAGCCUGGACACAGGUGCUGCAUGGCUGUCGUCAGCUCGUGUCGUGAGAUGUUGGGUUAAGUCCCGCAACGAGCGCAACCCUUGUCGUUAAUUGCCAUCAUUUAGUUGGGCACUUUAACGAGACUGCCGGUGACAAACCGGAGGAAGGUGGGGAUGACGUCAAGUCCUCAUGGCCCUUAUGGGUAGGGCUUCACACGUCAUACAAUGGUCGGUACAAAGGGUUGCCAAGCCGCGAGGCGGAGCCAAUCCCAGAAAGCCGAUCGUAGUCCGGAUUGCAGGCUGCAACUCGCCUGCAUGAAGUCGGAAUCGCUAGUAAUCGUGGAUCAGCAUGUCACGGUGAAUACGUUCCCGGGUCUUGUACACACCGCCCGUCACACCAUGGGAGCGGGUUCCGCCAGAAGUAGGUAGCCUAACCGCAAGGGGGGCGCUUACCACGGCGGGGUUCGUGACUGGGGUGGAGUCGGAACAAGGUAGCCGUAGGGGGACCUGCGGCUG
rnacentral:rRNA from 1 species